rnacentral:rRNA from 1 species
CGCAGUCUGCAACUCGACUGCGUGAAGUCGGAAUCGCUAGUAAUCGCGAAUCAGAAUGUCGCGGUGAAUACGUUCCCGGGCCUUGUACACACCGCCCGUCACACCAUGGGAGUGGGUUGCACCAGAAGUAGCUAGUCUAACCUUCGGGAGGACGGUUACCACGGUGUGAUUCAUGACUGGGGUGAAGUCGUAACAAGGUAGCCGUAGGGGAACCUGCGGCUGGAUCACCUCCUUAAUCGACGACA